rnacentral:rRNA from 1 species
UAAAACGUAGGUUCCGAGCGUUAUCCGGAUUUACUGGGCGUAAAGCGCGUUCAGGCGGUUUGGCAAGUCGGGCAUGAAAUCUCUGGGCUCAACCCGGAGAGGUUGUCCGAUACUGCUAAACUGGAGGGCAGUAGAGGGUGGUGGAAUUCCGGGUGUAGUGGUGAAAUGCGUAGAGAUCCGGAGGAACACCAGUGGCGAAAGCGGCCACCUGGACUGCACCUGACGCUGAAACGCGAAAGCUAGGGGAGCGAACGGGAUUAGAAACCCCGGUAGUCCUAGCUAUAAACGAUGUUGACUAGGUGUUGACGGUCUAAACCCCGCCAGUGCCGGAGCAAACGCAUUAAGUCAACCGCCUGGGGACUACGGCCGCAAGGUUA